GUGAGAAUUGAUUUGGUUUCGCUAGCAUUUUUCUCUUUUACUUCUCAAAGAAUGGGCGUGGCGAGAUCAGGAAUGGAAAUGAAAUCAGAACUGCAAGUUGCGUACGGUUACAGUGUUACAAGUUGGUUUGAUUUGGCUUAUACACCGCUGACGAGCUUCCGCAACUGAAAAUCAGUCUCGCAAUAGCCGAUGACGAUUAUUAGAAGGAUUAAGGCCAAAUG
rnacentral:misc_RNA from 1 species